rnacentral:rRNA from 1 species
GGUUGCUCUUGUUCGGUCAGGGGCGGCCGGGUGAGUAACACGUGGGCAACCUGCCCGCAAGACCGGGAUAACUCCGGGAAACCGGAGCUAAUACCGGAUAACACCAAAGACCGCAUGGUCUUUGGUUGAAAGGCGGCUUCGGCUGUCACUUGCGGAAGGGCCCGCGGCGCAUUAGCUAGUUGGUGAGGUAACGGCUCACCAAGGCGACGAUGCGUAGCCGGCCUGAGAGGGUGACCGGCCACACUGGGACUGAGACACGGCCCUGUCUCCUACGGGAGGCAGCAGUAGGGAAUCUUCCGCAAUGGACGAAAGUCUGACGGAGCGACGCCGCGUGAGCGAAGAAGGCCUUCGGGUCGUAAAGGUCUGUUGUGAGGGACGAAGGAGCGCCGUUUGAAUAAGGCGGCGCGCUGACGGUACCUCCCGAGAAAGCCCCGGCUAACUACGUGCCAGCAGCCGCGGUAAUACGUAGGGGGCGAGCGUUGUCCGGAAUUAUUGGGCGUAAAGCGCGCGCAGGCGGUCCUUUAAGUCUGAAGUGAAAGCCCAGGCUCAACCUUGGAAGGGGGUUGGAAACUGGGGGACUUGAAUGCAGGACCUUUAGUGCUGUAGCUAACGCGAUAANCACUCCGCCUGGGGAGUACGGCCGCAAGGCUGAACUCAAAGGAAUUGACGGGGGCCCGCACAANCGGUGGAGCAUGUGUUUAAUUNGAAGCAACGCGAAGANCCUUNCCAGGUCUUGACAUCCCCUGNCAACCCAAGAGAUUGGGCGUUCCCCCUUCGGGGGGACAGGGUGACAGGUGGUGCAUGGUUGUCGUCAGCUCGUGUCGUGAGAUGUUGGGUUAAGUCCCGCAACGAGCGCAACCCUUGCCUCUAGUUGCCAGCAUUCAGUUGGGCACUCUAGAGGGACUGCCGGCUAAAAGUCGGAGGAAGUUGGGGAUGACGUCAAAUCAUCAUGCCCCUUAUGACCUGGGCUACACACGUGCUACANUGGGCGGUACAAAGGGCUGCGAACCCGCGAGGGGGAGCGAAUCCCAAAAAGCCGCUCUCAGUUCGGAUUGCAGGCUGCAACUCGCCUGCAUGAAGCCGGAAUCGCUAGUAAUCGCGGAUCAGCAUGCCGCGGGGAAUACGUUCCCGGGCCUUGUUCACCCCGCCCGUCACACCACG